ACUUCCUCUGCAGUUUUCCUGACUGCUACAUUUCAUGAGAAGGGAUUAUUCUUGAGGGUUCUGGAGCUGCAGCCCAGGGGAGGAGCCAGUGCUGCCACUGACACCUCAGGGUCGUGGAGGUGAAAAUCCCAGAGGAACAGGUGCUCCUGUUGCAGUUUGAGGUUCCUGGAGCUGGAGACGCAGGGAGAAGAUGGCGCUGCUGUUCUAAUUUAAGGAUCAUGAAGCCGGAGACGCAGAAAGGAGCUGGUGCUGCCACUGCUCACAUCUGAGGGUUUUAGAGCUGGAGCCUGGGGGUGGAGCUGCUGCUGCCUUUGAAGUCUGAGAGUCAUUGACCUGGAGGUCCAGGAAGGAGCUGGUGCUGCUGUUCUAGUUUGAGAGUCAUGGAGCUGCAGACCCAGGGAGGAGCAAUGUUGUCAUAGUUCAAGGGUCAGGAAGCUGAUGACACAGGAAGGAGAGAUCUUGAUCUGCUUUGAGGGUCGUGGAGCUGCAGACCCAGGGAGGAGCAAUGUUGUCAUAGUUCGAGGGUCCGGAAGCUGGCAACACAGGGAGGAGAGAUCUUGUUUUAGUUUGAGGGUUGUGGAGCUGCAGACCCAGGGAGGAGCAAUGUUUUUGUAGUUCCAGGGUCCGGAAGCUGGUGACCCAGGGAGGAGAGAUCUUGUUCUAGUCUGAGGGUCGUGGAGCUGCAGAUCCAGGGAGGAGCAAUGUUGUUAUUUGGGGACUGGAAGCUGCAGACCUAGGGAGGAGAGGUCUUGUUCUAGUUUGAGGGUCAUGGAGCUGCGGACCCAGGGAGGAGCAAUGUUGUUUUAGUUCGAAGGUUCGGAAGCUGGUGACUCAGGGAGGAGAGGUCUUGUUCUAGUUUAAGGGUCGUGGAGCUGCAGACCCAGGGAGGAGCAAUGUUGUUAUUUGAGGGACUGGAAGCUGAUGACACAGGGAGGAGAGAUCUUGUUUUAGUUUGAGGGUCAUGGAGCUGGAGACCCAGGGAGGAGCAAUGUUUUCGUAGUUCGAGGGUCCGGAAGCUGGUGACCCAGGGAGGAGAGAUCUUGUUGUAGUCUGAGAGUCAUGGAGCUGCAGAUCCAGGGAGGAGCAAUGUUGUUAUUUGAGGGACUGGAAGCUGCAGACCUAGAGAGGAGAGGUCUUGUUUUAGUUUGAGGGUCGUGGAGCUGCAGACCCAGGGAGGAGCAAUGUUGUUAUUUGAGGGACUGGAAGCUGAUGACACAGGGAGGAGAGAUCUUGUUUUAGUUUGAGGGUCGUGGAGCUGCAGACCCAGGGAGGAGAGAUCUUGUUUUAGUUUGAGGGUCGUGGAGCUGCAGACCUAGGGAGGAGCCAUGUUUCCAUAGUUCAAGGGUCAGGAAGCUGGCAACACAGGGAGGAGAGGUCUGGUUCUAGUUUGAGGGUUGUGGAGCUGCAGACCCAGGGAGGAGCAAGGUUGUUUUAGUUUGAGGCUCCGGAAACUGGCGACGCAGGGUGGAGAGGUCUUGUUCUAGUUUGAGGGUGCGCCCAGGGAGGAGCAAUGCUGUCAUAGUUCGAGGGUCAGGAAGCUGAUGACACAGGGAGGAGAGAUCUUGAUCUGGAUUGAGGGUCGUGGAGCUGCAGACCCAGGCAGGAGCAAUGUUUUUGUAGUUCGAGGGUCCAGAAGCUGGCGACACAGUGAGGAGAGGUCUUUUUCUAGUUUGAGGGUCGUGGAGCUGCAGACCCAGGGAGGAGCAAUGUUGUUUUAGUUCGAAGGUUCGGAAGCUGGUGACCCAGGGAGGACAGAUCGUGUUCUAGUCUGAGGGUCGUGGAGCUGCAGAUCCAGGGAGGAGCAAUGUUGUUAUUUGAGGGACUGGAAGCUGCAGACCUAGGGAGGAGAGGUCUUGUUCUAGUUUGAGGGUCAUGGAGCUCCCGACCCAGGGAGGAGCAAUAUUUUCAUAGUUCAAGGGUCCAGAAGCUGGCGACGCAGGGAGGAGAGGUCUCAUUCUAGUUUGAGGAUCAUGGAGCUGCUGACCCAGGGAGGAGUAAUGUUUCUGUUGUUCGAGGGUCAGGAAGCUGGCGACCCAGGGAGGAGAGAUCUUGAUCUGGUUUGAGGGUUGUGGAGCUGCUGACCCAGGGAGGAGCAAUGUUGUCAUAGUUCAAGGGUCAGGAAGCUGACGACACAGGGAGGAGAGAUCUUGAUCUGGUUUGAGGGUCGUGGAGCUGCGGACCCAGGGAGGAGCAAUGUUUUCAUAGUUCGAGGGUCCGGAAGCUCGCGACCCAGGGAGUAGAGGUCUUGUUCUAGUCUGAGGGUGGUGGAGCUGGAGAUCCUUGGACGAGCUGGUGCUGCAGUUUAAAUCUGUGGAUCCUGGAGCUGGAGCCCUAGGCAUUAGCUGGUAUUGCUGUUGUUCAUAUAUGAGGGUUAUGGGGCUUGAGGUACAGGGAGGAGACGCUGCUGCUGUUCAAAUCUGCGGGUCGUGUAGCUGGAGAGCGGGGAGGAGGUAGUCCUGGUGUCUAGUGUGAGGGUGGUGGAGCUGUAGACCUGGGGAGGAGCUGGUGCUGCUGUGUAGUUUGAGGGUCAUGGAACUGGAGACCUAGGGAGGAACCAGUACUACCGCCAUUGAAGUCAGAGGGUUGUGGAUCUCGAGUUUUCGGGGACAGCCCGUGCUGCUAUGUAACUGUGGGGAGGAUCCAGUGUGUCAGGUGAUGUCUGAGGGUUUGGGAGCUGGAGACCCAGGGAGGAGCCGGUGCUCCUCUUCUAGUUUGAGGGUAGUGGAGCUGGAAAUCCUGGGAAGAGCCAGUGCUGCCAUUUAAAUCUGUGGGUCCUGGAGCUGGAACCCUUGUGGGAAGCCGGUUCUGCCAUUCAUGUCUUAGGGUCGUGGAGCUGGAAACCCAGGGAGGCAGCGGUGCUGCUGUUCUAGUUUAAGGAUCAUGAAGCUGGAGAUCUGGACAGGAGCUGGUGCUACCAUUAUUCAAAUCUGAGGGUUGUGGAGCUGGAGCCUUGGUGAGUUGCCGGUGCUGCCUCAUCUGAGAGUUGCUGAGCUGGAGAUCCAGACAGGAACCUGUGUUGCUGUUGUAGUUUGACGGUCAUGGAGCUGGAGACUCAGGGAGGAGGGGUGCGGUUCUAGUCUGAGGGUUGUGGAGCUGGAGACCCAGGGAGGAGCUGGUGCUGCUGCUGUUUAAGGCUGAAGGUUGUGGAGCUGGAGACCAGGGAGGGAGCUGCUGUUGCUGUUGAUCAAGUCAGAGGGUCAUGGGGCUUGAGGUACAGGGAGGAGCUGGUGCUGCUGUUGCAGGUUUAGGGUCAUGGAGCUGGAAAUCUAGGGAGGAGCUGCUGCUGCUGUUCAAGUUUGAGGGUCGUGUAGCUGGAGAGCGGGAAGGAGGUAGUCUUGAUGUCUAGUGUGAGGGUGGUGGAGCUAUAGACCUGGGGAGGAGCCGGUGCUGCUGUGUAGUUUGAGGGUCAUGGAACUGGAGACCUUGGGAGGAGCCAGUGCUACUGAGGGUCGUGUAUCUGGAGCUUUGGGGAACAGCCCGUGCUGCUGUUUAACUGUGGGGAGGAUCUGCUGUGUUAGUUGAAGUUUGAGGGUUUGGGAGCUGGAGACCCAGGGAGGAGCUGAUGAUGCCAUUCUAUUUUGAGGGUCAUGGAUCUGGAGACCUGGGGAGAGGCCGGUACUGCUGUUGUAGUUUGAGGUUCGUGGAACUGGAGACAGGGGGAGGAGCCGGUGCUGCUGUUCAUGUCUGAGGGUUGUAGAGCUGGAGACCCAGGGAGAAGCCCGUACUACGGCUUUUUAAGUCUGAGGGUCGUGGAGCCUGAGACCUGGGGAGGGGCCAGUGCUGCUGUUCAAAUGGCUCAUUCCGGGGUCUCCAGCUCCAUGACCUUCAAACUAGGACAGCAGCAGCAGCUCCUCCCGGGGUCUUCCAGCUCCAUGACCCUCACACUAGAACAGCAGCAGCAGCUCCUCCCGGGGUCUUCCAGCUCCAUGACCCUCACACUAGAACAGCAGCACCGGCUCCACCCUGGGUCUCCAGAUCCAUGACCCUCAAACUAGAACAGCAGCACUGACUCCUCCCCGGGUCUCCAGCUCUACAACCCUCAGACUUGAGGAGUUGGAGACUCGGGGAGGAGCCAGGGCUGCUUUUCUACUUUGAGGGUUGUGGAGCUGGAGACCCAAGAUGCAGCAGCUGCUGCUAUUCUAGUUCGAGGGUCUUGGAGCCAGAACCUUUUUGAGGAGCUGGUGCUGCCUUUCAAGUCUGAGAGUCAUUGAGCUGGAGUUCCAGGGAGGAACCGGUGUUGCUAUUCUAGUCUGAGUGUAGUGAAGCUGGAGACCCAAGGAGGAGCCGGUGCUGCUGUGUAGUUUGAGGGUCGUGGAACUGGAGACUUAGGGAGGAGUUGGUGCUAUCGCCCUUUAAGUCAGAGGGUCGUGGAUCUGGAGCUUUGGGGAACAGCCCGUGCUGCUGUUUAACUGUGGGGAGGGUCCGGUGUGUCAAUUGAAGUUUGAGAGUUUGGGAGCUGGAGACCCAGGGAGGAGCCGGUGAUGCCAUUCUAUUUUGAGGGUCGUGGAUCUGGAGACCUGGGGAGAGGCCGGUACUGCUGUUGUAGUUUGAGGUUCGUGGAACUGGAGACAGGGGGAGGGGGCGGUGCUGCUGCUGUUCAUGUCUGAGGGUUGUAGAGAUGGAGACCCAGGGAGAAGCCCGUACUACGGCUUUUUAAGUCUGAGGGUCGUGGAGCCUGAGACCCGGGGAGGGGCCAGUGCUGCUGUUCAAAUGGUUCCUCCCCGGGUCUCCAGCUCCAUGACCUUCAAACUAGGACAGCAGCACCAGCUUGGAGCCAGAAACUUUCUGAGGAGCCAGUGCUGCCUUUCAAGUCUGAGACUUGUAAGAGCUGGAGACCCAGGGAGGAACAAGUGUUGCUGUUCUAGUCUGAGGGUAGAGAAGCUGGAGACCCAAGGAGGAGCCUGUGCUGCUGUUCAUGUCUGAGGAUUGUGGAGCUGGAGAACCAGAGGGGAGCUGGUGCUGCUGAUCGUGUUUGAAGGCUGUGGAGCUGGAGAUCCCAGGAAGAGCCGGUGCUGCCGUUUAUAUCUGUGGGUCUUGGAGCUGGAGCCCUAGCGGGGAACCCGGUCCUGCCAUUCAUGUCUUAGGGUCGUGGAGCUGGAAACCUAGGGAGGUGGUGGUGCUGCUGUUCUAGUUUAAGGAUCAUGAAGCUGGAGACCUGGACAGGAGCUGGUGCUACCGCUGUUCAAAUCUGAGGGUCAUGGAGCUGGAGCCUUGGGGAGGUGCCGGUGCUGCCUCUCAAGUCUGAGGGUUGUUGAGCUGGAGAUUCAGGGAGGAGCCGGUGUUGCUGUUGUUGUUGGAGGAUUGUGGAGCUGGAGGCCGAAGAGGAGCUGGUGUUGCAGUUCAAGUUUGACGGUCGUGUAGCUGGAGACCUAGGGAGGAGCUGGUGCUACCACCGUGUAAGUUGAGGGUUGUGGAGCUGGUGGCGCUGGGG
rnacentral:lncRNA from 1 species